rnacentral:rRNA from 1 species
ACGAAGGCUUCGGCCUUAGUGGCGCACGGGUGCGUAACGCGUGGGAAUCUGCCCUUUGGUUCGGAAUAACAGCUGGAAACGGCUGCUAAUACCGGAUGAUGACGAGAGUCCAAAGAUUUAUCGCCAGAGGAUGAGCCCGCGUUGGAUUAGGUAGUUGGUGGGGUAAAGGCCUACCAAGCCGACGAUCCAUAGCUGGUCUGAGAGGAUGAUCAGCCACACUGGGACUGAGACACGGCCCAGACUCCUACGGGAGGCAGCAGUGGGGAAUAUUGGACAAUGGGCGAAAGCCUGAUCCAGCAAUGCCGCGUGAGUGAUGAAGGCCCUAGGGUUGUAAAGCUCUUUUACCCGGGAAGAUAAUGACUGUACCGGGAGAAUAAGCCCCGGCUAACUCCGUGCCAGCAGCCGCGGUAAUACGGAGGGGGCUAGCGUUGUUCGGAAUUACUGGGCGUAAAGCGCACGUAGGCGGCUUUGUAAGUCAGAGGUGAAAGCCUGGAGCUCAACUCCAGAACUGCCUUUGAGACUGCAUCGCUUGAAUCCAGGAGAGGUCAGUGGAAUUCCGAGUGUA